rnacentral:lncRNA from 1 species
AUGGCACGUCUAAGUCCCCUCACGCGCUCGUGUCCCGUCGCACACCCACACCCUGACACCGACGGCCUUGCACACUCACCUCCCAUCACCCCUCCCUUCUCCUCCUCCUCCUCCUCCUCUCCCUCCUCCUCCUCCUUCCUCCCUUUUUCUCCCCUUUCCUCCUCCUCCUCCUCCUCCUCCACAUCCUUGUUGGUGAACCAGGGUGGGGGGGGGGGUGGGCGCCGAGGGGGUGGGGGGGGGGGGUGUGUGUGCAAGGGUGUGUGUGUGCAAGGGGUGUGUGUGCAAGGAUGUGGAGGGGCUCUGUGUGUACUUGUGUGUGCAAGUGAGUGUGUGUGCAAGGGGGGUAAGUGUGUGUGCAAGGGGUGUGUGUGCAAGGAUGUGGAGGGGCUCUGUGUGUACUUGUGUGUGCAAGUGAGUGUGUGUGCAAGGGGGGUAAGUGUGUGUGCAAGGGGUGUGUGUGCAAGGAUGUGGGGGGCUGUGUGCACUUGCGUGUGUGAGAGUGUGUGUGCAAGGGGGCAAGGGCACAAGCACGUGUGCAAGGGGGGGACGUGUUCAUCCCUUGUCCUUCCCUCCUCCUCCUCUUUCCACCUUCGUCCUCCUUCCACCUUCCUCUCCUCCUCCUCCUCUCCCUCCUCCUCCUCCUUCCUCCCUUUUUCUCCCCUUUCCUCCUCCUCCUCCUCCUCCUCUCCCUCCUUCCUCCUUCCUUCUCCCCCUUCCUCCUCCUCCUCCUUCCUCCUUUCUUCUCCCUCCUCCUCCUCCUUCCUCCUUUCUUCCCUUCCCUCCUCCUCCUCCUUCCUCCUUCCUUCUCCCUCCUCCUCCUCCUUCCUCCUUUCUUCCCUUCCCUCCUCCUCCUCCUUCCUCCUUCCUUCUCCCCCUUCCUCAUGGGGGGGCUGUGUGCACUUGUGUGCCUGUGAGUGUGUGUGCAAGGGGUGUGUGUGCAAGGAUGGAGGGGCUGUGUGCACUUGUGAGUGUGUGUGUAAGGGGGGGCGAGGGCACAAGCAUGUGUGCAAGGGGGGAUAUGUGUGA